GCCGGUGUACCGCAUAUAUAGGUGGCCGUAUCGUGGCAGAAUUCUAAGGAAACAGCGCCGAAGAGUGCGUAAUCCCUCGAUCGCAGCAUUGAUUUGUAAUCAUUAGGUCCCGAGUUCGACUCUUGGUGCUGGCACCA
rnacentral:tRNA from 1 species